UACGUAGGGUCCGAGCGUUGUCCAGAAUUAUUGGGCGUAAAGGGCUCGUAGGCGGUUCGUCACGUCAGGAGUGAAAACUCGGAGCUUAACCCCGAGCCUGCUUCCGAUACGGGCAGACUAGAGGUAGGCAGAAGAGAGCGGAACUCCUGGUGUAGCGGUGGAAUGCGCAGAUAUCAGGAAGAACACCGGUGGCGAAGGCGGCUCUCUGGGCCUUACCUGACGCUGAGGAGCGAAAGCGUGGGUAGCGAACAGG
rnacentral:rRNA from 1 species